rnacentral:rRNA from 1 species
AGAGUUUGAUCCUGGCUCAGAAUCAACGCUGGCGGCGUGCCUAACACAUGCAAGUCGAACGAGAAAGUGGAGCAAUCCAUGAGUAAAGUGGCGCACGGGUGAGUAACACGUGACUAACCUACCCUAAAGUGGGGGAUAACUUCGGGAAACCGAGGCUAAUACCGCAUACGGUCUACGGACUAAAGGAGCAAUUCGCUAUA